rnacentral:rRNA from 1 species
GAUGAACGCUGGCGGCGUGCCUAAUACAUGCAAGUCGAGCGAACAGACGAGGAGCUUGCUCCUCUGACGUUAGCGGCGGACGGGUGAGUAACACGUGGAUAACCUACCUAUAAGACUGGGAUAACUUCGGGAAACCGGAGCUAAUACCGGAUAAUAUAUUGAACCGCAUGGUUCAAUAGUGAAAGACGGUUUUGCUGUCACUUAUAGAUGGAUCCGCGCCGCAUUAGCUAGUUGGUAAGGUAACGGCUUACCAAGGCAACGAUGCGUAGCCGACCUGAGAGGGGGAUCGGCCAACACGGAACUGGGACCCGGGCCAGACCCCUACGGGGGGCAGCAGUAGGGAAUCUUCCGCAAGGGGCGAAAGCCUGAAGGAGCAACGCCGCGGGAGGGAAGAAGGUCUUCGGAUCGUAAAACUUUUUUUUUAGGGAAAAAAAAAUGUGUAAGUAACUAUGCACCUUUUGGCGGUACCUAAUCAAAAAGCCCCGGCUAACCACG